UACGUAGGGGGCAAGCGUUAUCCGGAUUUACUGGGUGUAAAGGGAGCGUAGACGGAAUUGCAAGUCUGAUGUGAAAAUCCGGGGCCCAACCCCGGAACUGCAUUGGAAACUGUAUUUCUAGAGUGUCGGAGAGGCAAGUGGAAUUCCUGGUGUAGCGGUGAAAUGCGUAGAUAUCAGGAGGAACAUCAGUGGCGAAGGCGGCUUGCUGGACGAUGACUGACGUUGAGGCUCGAAAGCGUGGGGAGCAAACAGG
rnacentral:rRNA from 1 species